GGGGGAUACUGGGGGAUACUGGGAGGGGUAUGGGGGGAUUUGGGGGACACUGGGGUAUACUGGGAGGGGAUUUGGAGGCGUUUGAGGGAACCGGGAUAUACUGGGAGGCACUGGGAAGGACUGGGAAGGGACGUGGAGGGGAUAUGGGGGCACUGGGAGAUACUGGGAGGGAACUGGGCUAUACUGGGAGGGAACUGGGGGACACUGGGAGGGCACUGGGGAACACCCAAGGCCUUUUAUGGGCGUGUGCUGAGUUGUAUUGGUUUAUAUGGGUUUAUACUGGUUCGCACUGGUUUUUAGUGGGUUUUAGUGGUUUGUACUGGUUCUUACUGGUUUGUACUGGUGCGCAGGGUGCCGGGCGAGUUGGCCUUCGUGGGGGGCUGCCUGGGGGUGAACCCCAAGUCCUACGGGGCCUGGCACCACCGGCGCUGGGUGCUGCGGCACGCGCCCCCCGACCCCGCCGCCCAGCGCGCCUUCUGCGCCCGCCUGCUGGACGCCGACCCCCGCAACUUCCACGCGUGGGAGCACCGGCGGGCGGAGGCCGGGGGCGAGGCGGAGGCCGAGCUGGCCUUCACGGCGGAGCUGCUGGCCCGCGACUUCUCCAACUUCUCCGCCUGGCACCACCGGGGCCGGCUCCUGGCCGCCGGCCCGCUGCCCCCGGCCCGCCUCCGCCGAGAGCUGGAGCUGGUGCAGAACGCCGUCUUCACCGACCCGCAGGACCAGAGCGCCUGGGUCUACCUGCGCUGCCUGCUGGCCCGCGCCACGCCCCCGCCCCGCCUCCUGAGCCUCCACGCCGACCUGGAGGGCGGCACGCUGGCCGUCGCCUUCUCCCGCCCCGUCGCGGUGAGGCCACGCCCCUUUUUAUAAGCCACGCCCCUCAAUAAACCACGCCCCUCGAUAAGCCACGCCCCCCCACCAAGCCACGCCCCCGCCACCCCACGCCCCCCCCCCCCCCCCCCC
rnacentral:lncRNA from 1 species